AAUUUUAUCACCCGAGGUUCAUUAAUGUGCGCGCAAUCUGAGCAUAUGAGCUCUUUUUUUAUUCUUCGCAUUUUGCCUUCGUCGGAAGGCAGUCGGGAUUGAACGCGUGACCUCGAACUAAGCACAGUAACACCUUAGGACCUGGGCACAUCGCGGUUUAUAUACUCAGAAAUGCAUUUAAGUUUAUAUAAAGGCAGAGCCGCCGUUGCUGCCUGCUCUAAUUGGCUCACAGGGUUCUUACGCACUCGUUCAUUGGCUAAGAAUGAAAACAUGGUGGAAUUUGACGGUGUGCGGAAUAGAACCUCAACGUUUCGUGUCCUCAUCAUUUUCAGCAUGCUUCUAAGUAGGCGUGCAACGUCUUUUUUUUUUUUCAUCGGUGCCGAGAAUGAAGCGCACGAGAUCCACAUGGUCGAGUCGUGCACGAAUCUGUCAGGCAAAGAUGCUGGCCUUUCGUGCUUCAUGACAAGGUCAUGCGUGGGAGGCAGCACGUAGACCGACAGUACGAGCCAGCGAAGGGUGAAUGCGGCGUCCUAGCGGCCUGGUGUCUUGGUCCCCACCCUGCUGCUCCUGGUGGCCAGCAGUACUUGCGUACUGGUAUCUAGAUGCCUGCCCUGUGGACCUGAUGGCGAGCUCUUCCAUCAGCCUGGUGUCUUGCUGCCCGCCCUGUGGAUCAAGCAGCCACCUGUUCGUGCGAAAUGGUAACUAGCUGCCCACGAUGGGAACCUGGUGGCCAGCUGUCGUAAUGACCUGGCCUUUGGCAGCGACUGUUCCAGCGACUUGAUGUGUAGCGGCGAGCUCAGCGGACUCGCCAGCUGUUCCAGUGAAACUGUACCUUGCGGCCUGACCUGGGGACCCUUUUGGCCAGCUGUUCUGGAGGCCUGAACAAACGAUCGACAUGUUCCUGUGGUGCACGGACUGUCUGUCAAAGGCGAUGCUCGAUUUUCGUGGGUCCUCAUCGUGUGAAGCACUGGAGUCAGCAUGGUGGCCGUCUAUAUAAAUAAUGCCACCAAGCGGACCUGCGUCUUGCUGCCUGACGUGCGUAACGGGUGGCGAGCUCGGUCUUCUAACACGAUGGUGCCUGGGAGCCUCCACUGCGGAUCUGGUGGCCAGCUGAUCUUGCGACCUGGUAUCUCAACGUCAAUCCAGCUGCUCUACCUUCAUGAUGUUGCUGCGUUGCUUCUGUUGCUGCGCGCCCCGUAGACCUGGUGGCAAGCUGUUCUUGUGACCUCCUCGGCUGCUGAAAAGAUACAGCAUGCGCUAAGGAAUCACAGAGGAACGUGCUCAUCGUAAGUGGCGAUGAUGGCGAGGACCUCCCCACCACGGACUUGGAACUGCAAUCCCUCGAUCGGGAGCAACCUGCUGCCGGACCGCCGAACAGCCGCUGAGCCAGGCUGGAGAAGUUCACGUCGAACGUCAAGUCUUGAACCGGCGUCAGAGUGGCCACAUUCAUCGUCACGACAACGAGGCACUUGACACCAUUGCUGGAAAUCCCGACAAACGGGUGGUUACACACACACACAAAUAAAGAGACUCAAAACAGCGCUGGCCAGAAGGCAAGAAGAGGACGAUGGCCGCGUUCAGCGCCGAUGACGUGCAAGACAACUCAAGCUUUCGUACCACGAGUCCAACUAAUAAGUAUAUGUGGGGUAGAUCUUCGGUAGCCUCAGCAGAGGUUGGGGCGGGUCUUCGAAAUAGAGCUUCGGUAACACAGGCUUACGGAGUUACCCUGUUGGUAACGGCAGAGGAAACGCGACGAGCGAAACGUUGGUGGAUGACAUGAAUGACACAAAGAACGGAAAACUACGCACGACGGCAAAAUGUGAUGUUCACGGGAGCGUAUUCGCGCAAUGUGUUUUUUAUCAAGUCACCAAAGUGUUUCUGCACCAUUUUAACCCUGUACUGCACAACGCAGAUUCUGUAUAGUGUGCGUUUGAGACAUAGUAAUUUGAAUUCGCGCACGUGGAACACAAGUAGCCGUAUUAAUGCACAAUCAGGGUAUUUUUAUGUCCACUACAUGACGAAGGCCUCUCCCAGCGAUCUCCCAUUUCCGCUAUCAUGUGCCAACUACUUCCAACUUGCGCCUGCGAAUUUUCUCAUCUCAGCUCGACUGCGCUUCCGUUUUCUUGGCACCCAUUUUGUAACGCUAACGCUCCACCGAUUAUCAAUCCUACGCAUUGCAUAGCCUACCCAGCUCCAUUCCUUUCUCUUUGUGUCGAUUACAAUAGCGGGUAUCCCUGUUUACCCUCGAUAGUCCACAGCGCUUUUCACCUGUCUCUGAACAUUACGCCUAACGUGAUUGGUCCCAUUGCUCUUUCCGCGGUCUUGUUCUCGAGCUUCUUCAACCUGCAUGUUUCGGCCUCAUAUGUUGGCACCAGUAGAAUGCAGUGAUUGUAGACUUUUUCUGCGAUAGUGUUUUUGUUUUAGCGAUAGUGACUUUUUCUCCCACUCAGUAUCUGGCAAUGCUUGCUGUACGCACUCCAACUUACCUUCUCUUCUGUAAAUUUCUUUGUCUUGAUCAGUGUCUCUUGCGACUUCUGACCUAGGUAAAUGGACUCCUUCACAAACCCUAGAGGUUGAUUGGCAAUCCUGAACUUUUGUUCCCUUGCCAGGCUAUUGAUUAUUUUUCCUUCUGAUAUUAAUCGAACUGCGCCCUUACACUUUCUGUUGAGGCCCUCAAUCAUUUGUAAUUCAUUCCCAGUGUUGCUUAACAUGACGUCGUCUGCAAACCGAAGGUUGCUGAGAUGUUCGAUGUUGAACCUCUCCUAGUCCAUAUUUUGGCAGCUUCAGUACUUCGAAGCAUGCAGUGAAUACCAUUGGAGAGUUUGCGUCUCUUUCACUGACUACUUUCUCUAUACGUACCUUUCUACUUUUCUUGUGAAGGAAAAAGGUAGCUGAGGAAUCCUUUGAGCUAUUUCCGAAGAUAUUCACGUAUGCCAUAUGUACUUCUUGAUUACGUAAUGCUACUAUGAAAAUGCAUUUGAUUCAUUAGAGACACCAGCAGUCGUAAUGAAUGAAAGCAUCGUAGAGUGGGUGCUCGUACUUUGCAGAUUUCUCAGUUACCUUAUUGAUGACAGGAGUAGGAGGAGGGAAAGAAGAGAUCCGUUGAACAUCCCGAAGCCAGCCUGUUUCUUUACUGAGGUCAAGUGGUGCCUUCACUCAAUUGGCAAUUCGUGAAUUCGUUAGAGCCAUGUGUCUGUUGUGAUUAGGUUUGGAAUCUAAUUACAAACGAGUGCUUGCUUAACUUAUACUCAGUACAAAUGUGUCCUCCAAGACGAGAAAUAGGGUCCAUUCUAGGAAUUUUAUUUGAUGUAGAACUGUGUUUGGGCGUUACAGGGUUAACUACUCCAAUACUAUUCGCGUUUGUGUUGCGUGCUUUGAACAGGGAACUCUGCAAAGUAAGUAUUUGGAGACCAGCAACCAGCGGUCUCGUUAAUGGACAACGAAGUCUGGUCGAACCCGUUACUUAUACUGCUAUUCACAGCAAAUCUUAAGGACUCGCCAGGGGUUGAGUACAAAAAAAAAAAAAAAUCACGCGAUGACAUGACGCGCGCCUCUCAACUGGUGCCUAUCGGUUGUGUAGCCGGUACAGUUACCCGCGCCACUGGCAUUAUGCGCGAGCUAAGCGAUCGUCCAGGAUUGAAGAGAUGCUUCGAUUCACCGUUUCAGUUUAGCGUUUGCAACCGAAUAUUCGCAUUACGUCCGUAAAGAAAUGUCGACCCUGCACACGUUCUGAACGUUAGGGGGGUUCUGCGAUUUGCGUGCGCUAUGAUAGCGUACGGUAUUUGACGAGUGUCAGGUUCGAACGUCUGCGUACGCUUAGUAGCGUCGAACAUGGCGGCGCCCAUGGCUCCAGCUUCAGCGUAUGUUUUGAUAACCGCUGUCAGAGACGAGUUUGUCGCCAGUACCUAUAAAACCGAGUUCACGCUUCCUCUGAACUCGCCUGAAACGUGAGCGCAUAGCGCGUGCAAUUUCGGAGAUCAGCCGGCGAUUCCGGCUCCCGUAGGCCUAACCAGACUCGUCGGCAUAGCAACGGUGAGGUACUUGCUAAUGGAUCGUCUCGUCUUGGCUUCGAUACGUUUGGCACGAGGCACGAGACGGCGGGCUGUUUUGGAGAGUCUUUACGUUUGUGUUCCCGUACGGUAAACUGGCAGACUUCAAAGGACGCACACCGUAACGUCGCACAAAUCUGAUUACGUUUAACGUACGUAGGUCGGCAAACUCCUCUAAAACAGUGAUAUUGUUUCGUGCACUAUUUCAGUUCUACGGCGUGUAUUUCUCGGGUGCCUUAACCUUUGGAAUGAACGUCUGUACGCUUGUGCUUAGCCGAACGCUUCUUAAAGCUGUCUUAGAUGGUCUGCGUCUAAAAUGAAGAUUGCAUUCUCUCGAGCAGCUACCGCCUUUCGGGUUUUGCAAAGCUGAGAUUGAUGUCUCUAUUUUGUGUGUGUGUGUGUGUGUGUGCGCGCACGCUGUUUCACACCACCAGAAAAAUGGUUUGCCUCGUGUGAGAACGUUCAUUGGCUUGGAAAUAAACUUGUCUUG